rnacentral:rRNA from 1 species
CCUACGGGCGGCAGCAGUGGGGAAUAUUGCACAAUGGGGGAAACCCUGAUGCAGCGACGCCGCGUGAGUGAAGAAGGAAUUCGUUAUGUAAAGCUCUAUCAGCAGGGAAGAAAAUGACGGUAUCUGAGUAAGAAGCCCCGGCUAACAACGUGCCAGCAGCCGCGGUAAAACGGAGGGGGCAAGGGUUAUCCGGAUUUACGGGGUGGAAAGGGAGCGUAGACGGCGGGGCAAGGCUGGAGUGAAAGGCGGGGGCUCAACCCCCGGACUGCUCUGGAAACUGUACGGCUGGAGUGCAGGAGAGGUAAGUGGAAUUCCUAGUGUAGCGGUGAAAUGCGUAGAUAUUAGGAGGAACACCAGUGGCGAAGGCGGCUUACUGGACUGUAACUGACGUUGAGGCUCGAAAGCGUGGGGAGCAAACAGGAUUAGAUACCCCAGUAGUC